rnacentral:rRNA from 1 species
AGGGCAGCAGUGGGGAAUAUUGCACAAUGGGCGCAAGCCUGAUGCAGCCAUGCCGCGUGUAUGAAGAAGGCCUUCGGGUUGUAAAGUACUUUCAGCAGUGAGGAAGGUGGAUAUGUUAAUAGCAUAUUCAUUUGACGUUAGCUGCAGAAGAAGCACCGGCUAACUCCGUGCCAGCAGCCGCGGUAAUACGGAGGGUGCGAGCGUUAAUCGGAAUUACUGGGCGUAAAGCGCAUGCAGGUGGUUUGUUAAGUCAGAUGUGAAAGCCCGGGGCUCAACCUCGGAAUUGCAUUUGAAACUGGCAAACUAGAGUACUGUAGAGGGGGUAGAAUUUCAGGUGUAGCGGUGAAAUGCGUAGAGAUCUGAAGGAAUACCGGUGGCGAAGGCGGCCCCCUGGACAGAUACUGACACUCAGAUGCGAAAGCGUGGGGAGCAAACAGGAUUAGAUACCCUGGUAG